UACAGAGGUCUCGAGCGUUAGGCGGAAUCACUGGGCUUAAAGCGUGUGUAGGCGGACUGGUAAGUACCUUGUGAAAUCCCACGGCUCAACCCUGGGAUGCGGGUGGAUACUGCCGGGCUCGAGUCCGGAAGAGGCGAGUGGAAUUCCCGGUGUAGCGGUGAAAUGCGCAGAUAUCGGGAGGAACACCAAUGGCGAAGGCGGCUCUCUGGCCUGUAACUGACGCUGAGGCGCGAAAGCGUGGGGAGCAAACAGG
rnacentral:rRNA from 1 species